rnacentral:rRNA from 1 species
AUACGGAGGGUGCAAGCGUUAAUCGGAAUUACUGGGCGUAAUGCGUACGUAGGCGGUUCGUUAAGUUAGAUGUGAAAGCCCCGGGCUUAACCUGGGAACUGCAUUUAAAACUGGCGAACUAGAGUUGAGUAGAGGGGAGUGGAAUUUCAGGUGUAGCGGUGAAAUGCGUAGAGAUCUGAAGGAACACCAGUGGCGAAGGCGGCUCCCUGGACUCAAACUGACGCUGAGGUACGAAAGCGUGGGUAGCAAACGGGAUUAGAAACCCUAGUAGUCC